rnacentral:rRNA from 1 species
UACGGAGGAUGCAAGCGUUAUCCGGAUUCAUUGGGUUUAAAGGGUGCGUAGGCGGGCUAUUAAGUCAGUGGUGAAAUCCUGCAGCUUAACUGUAGCAUUGCCUUUGAAACUGCCGUUCUUGAGUACAGUUGAGGUAGGCGGAACGUGGUGUGUAGCGGUGAAAUGCAUAGAUAUACCACAGAACGCCGAUUGCGAAGGCAGCUUACUAAGCUGUUACUGACGCUGAGGCACGAAAGUGUGGGGAUCAAACAGGAUUA